rnacentral:rRNA from 1 species
UACGAAGGGGGCUAGCGUUGCUCGGAAUCACUGGGCGUAAAGGGUGCGUAGGCGGGUUUUUAAGUCGGGGGUGAAAUCCUGGAGCUCAACUCCAGAACUGCCUUCGAUACUGGCGAUCUUGAGUCCGGGAGAGGUGAGUGGAACUCCGAGUGUAGAGGUGAAAUUCGUAGAUAUUCGGAAGAACACCAGUGGCGAAGGCGGCUCACUGGCCCGGUACUGACGCUGAGGUGCGAAAGCGUGGGGAGCAAACAGG